AUCAACUUUCGAUGGUAGGAUAGAGGCCUACCAUGGUGGUAACGGGUAACGGGGUGUUAGGGCACGACACCGGAGAGGGAGCCUGAGAAACGGCUACCACAUCCAAGGAUGGCAGCAGGCGCGCAAAUUACCCAAUCCCGACACGGGGAGGUAGUGACAAUAAAUAACAAUACGGGGUUCUUACGGAUCUCGUAAUUGGAAUGAGUACAAUUUAAAUCUCUUAACGAGGAACAAUUGGAGGGCAAGUCUGGUGCCAGCAGCCGCGGUAAUUCCAGCUCCAAUAGCGUAUAUUAAAGUUGUUGCAGUUAAAAAGCUCGUAGUUGAAUUUCGGGAUCAAUAUGUCGGUCGUGCCUCGGUACGUACUGGCAUCAUUGGUUUCUCCCUUCUGAUGAACCAUGAUGCCAUUAAUUUGGUGUCGUGGGGAAUCAGGACUGUUACUUUGAAAAAAUUAGAGUGUUUAAAGCAGGCUCACGCUUGAAUACAUUAGCAUGGAAUAAUGAAAUAGGACGUUUGAUUCUAUUUUGUUGGUUUCUAGGAUCGACGUAAUGAUUAAUAGGGAUAGUUGGGGGCAUUAGUAUUCAAUUGUCAGAGGUGAAAUUCUUGGAUUUAUUGAAGACUAACUACUGCGAAAGCAUUUGCCAAGGAUGUUUUCAUUAAUCAAGAACGAAAGUUAGGGGAUCGAAGACGAUCAGAUACCGUCGUAGUCUUAACCAUAGACUAUGCCGACUAGGGAUCGGAUGAUGUUAAUUUUUUAAUGACUCAUUCGGCGCCUUACGGGAAACCAAAGUGUUUGGGUUC
rnacentral:sRNA from 1 species